GAAGAGCUGAACUGCGUGGCUCGAAUUGCGGGGCCUGGGUUCACCUGACAAAAGAGGGUUUCCACCAGGGGGCGCAAGGAGUCAGCGUUAGUUCACAAUAUCCAUUAGGGGGCGCUUUUGCCGCCUCUGGCGGUCUAGGGUUGGGGAGCCAACCGCAGCUUCGCCCCGCCUGAUUGGGAGAGGCACCACUAAACUAUUUGCAUACUCUUGAAAGGGCUGCGCUGAGUAGUUGAGGUAUAGAAGAAAUCUGAAACGGGCUCUCUCAUUGGCUUAAGUUCCCCCUUGUUCCGAGUCCCUUUCCCGGCCAAUCCCCGCCCGGAGGUCAGUCCGAAGCCUAGGCUAGUGGCGAGAGCAGACCCAGGUGUCCGGACAUUGGGCGCUGCAGGGAGUUUAAGAUGUGCAUCUAGAGAGGCACUGCCACCCUUGCCACCUGCCCUUCCAUCCACACACCGAGGUCCUCUCCAUCCACUCUGGUCCCGCCCACUCUACCUUGGGGUAGAAAAAGGAGUCUCCUCAGUCGCAGCUUCUGACCUCCCGGCUACCUCACUCAGGCAUCUAAAGAGCUUAGUUUGCCCCUCCAGAAAGUGGAUCAGUGGCUUACAGAGGCGUGCGCCGGGGAAGGGAGGGGUACACAGGCGGCCUGCUCACACACAGGCUUGUUCGUGCAGAGUGGCUCAAAAGUAGAGCUCCAGGGCUCAGCUGGGUAUGGGUACCAAGAAUGAAAGUCCAGAACCCAACUGCCAGAAACAGUUCCAGGCUGCAGUCAGCGUCAUUCAGAACUUACCUAAGAAUGGCUCUUACCGCCCGUCUUAUGAAGAGAUGCUGCGAUUCUACAGCUACUACAAGCAGGCUACAGUGGGGCCCUGCUUGGUCCCCCGGCCUGGAUUCUGGGACCCUAUUGGACGUUAUAAAUGGGAUGCCUGGAACAGCCUGGGCAAGAUGAGCAGGGAGGAGGCCAUGUCCGCCUACAUCACUGAGAUGAAGCUGGUGGCACAGAAGGUGAUCGACACGGUGCCCCUGGGUGAGGUGGCAGAGGACAUGUUUGGUUACUUCGAGCCCCUGUACCAGGUGAUCCCUGACAUGCCGAGGCCCCCGGAGACCUUCCUGAGAAGGGUCACAGGUUGGAAAGAGCGGGUGUUGAAUGGAGAUCCUGGAGCUUCCCCAGAGCCUCCUUGCCUCCCCAAGGAACCAGCCCCUCCAAGUCCAGACGCCGAGACCUCCUGUGCUCCGGAAGGCCAAGGGACAGGUUCCAGGGCCUCUCUCAGGGAUCCAUCUGUGCCCCUUGUGGCAGUAUCUCUAAUGUCCCCUGAACAGAGUCCCAGCCACCCAGGGACCUGGACUCUGAGGUUUUCUGUGAUUCCCUGGAGCAGCUGGAGCCUGAGCUGCAGGUUGAUGCAGAGCAGAGGGGCGCCCUUGGAGGAGAGCCCGAUACCAGAAACAGCCCCGUGUCCACCACAGAGAAAGAAAAUUUGGGAAGCAGCCUGCUGGGACCCCAGGAAUUGGACACAUGGCUGAUGGGGACAGUUCAGGCGCUGCAGGAGAGCAUGCAGGAUGUCCAGGGGAGACUGCAGAGCCUGGAGAGCAUGCCCAGCCCCCCUAGGCAGAGGCCCCCACCCAGGCCUUGGCCCCUCAGGCUCUCCGGUCCGGCGCUGCUCUUCUUUCUCCUGUGGCCUUUCAUCGUCCAGUGGCUCUUCCGACAGUUUCGGACCCAGAAGAGGUGACUCUCAGUGGAGGGGUCUCUGCAGCCAGCUGAGGAGGCUAUGAGCCCCCUGUCCUGCUGUGCCCUGAGCCUUCUUAGAGCCAUCCCCCUUGCCGCUCCAAUUAGUGUUUGCCUUGGCAUCCCUCCCCUUAUGGGGGGCCGGAUUAGACCCCACUCUUCCUGCAGCUUCACUGGGACUCCCUCUCCCCUCUCCCCCAACCACUUCAGGCUCCCUGGGGAGGCUGCAGUUGUGGUGCUUGGCCCGGUUAUGGGUUGGCCGGUGACUCCGGGGCGGGGCUGCUGGGUCUCAGCGUCGGCCCUCCCAACUCUCUGGGUCAUCUGACUCCUCUCCCACCCUAGCCGUUCCCCGAGGAGGCUCAGCUCUUGGGCAAGUUGGAACUUGGGCCCGGGCCUGGAAGAAUGAUUGGCUGGGAGGCUGUGGGAGGGAGGCCAGGAGGCCCGGCCGAGUUGGGAAAAGGCGGAGAGAGUUGGCCCUGGGGGAGGGGAGUCAGCUCCGUUUUGCUGGCCGCCCUACCCCCACAAAUACUCAGGACGUCUUCACUAAAGAUUCACUUGCAAAUGAAUGUUUCACUAAAUAAAAUAAAACCUUUAUCUUCUGCC